rnacentral:rRNA from 1 species
AUACGUAGGGAGCGAGCGUUGUCCGGAUUUACUGGGUGUAAAGGGUGCGUAGGCGGGUUUGCAAGUCAGGCGUGAAAUCCCGGGGCUUAACUCCGGGGCUGCGCUUGAAACUGUAGAUCUUGAGUGAAGUAGAGGCAAGCGGAAUUCCUAGUGUAGCGGUGAAAUGCGUAGAUAUUAGGAGGAACACCAGUGGCGAAGGCGGCUUGCUGGGCUUUAACUGACGCUGAGGCACGAAAGCAUGGGGAGC